AGAGUUUGAUCCUGGCUCAGAGCGAACGCUGGCGGCAGGCCUAACACAUGCAAGUCGAGCGCCCCUCCUUCAAGCGAGCUUGAAGGAUUGCGCGGCGGUGUCUUCGAACGGGCGUAAGCGCGUUUCGAGGGCAACCGUUUCGAAAUCAAGCGGACCAAAGGGCUCGCUUGAUGGAGGGGAGCGGCAGACGGGAGAGUAAC
rnacentral:rRNA from 1 species